rnacentral:rRNA from 1 species
ACGAACGCUGGCGGCGUGCCUAAUACAUGCAAGUAGAACGCACAGUUUAUACCGUAGCUUGCUACACCAUAAACUGUGAGUUGCGAACGGGUGAGUAACGCGUAGGUAACCUGCCUGGUAGCGGGGGAUAACUAUUGGAAACGAUAGCUAAUACCGCAUAAUAUUAAUUAUUGCAUGAUAAUUGAUUGAAAGAUGCAAUUGCAUCACUACCAGAUGGACCUGCGUUGUAUUAGCUAGUAGGUGAGGUAACGGCUCACCUAGGCGACGAUACAUAGCCGACCUGGGAGGGUGAUCGGCCAAACUGGGACUGAGACACGGCCCAGACUCCUACGGGAGGCAGCAGUAGGGAAUCUUCGGAAAUGGACGAAAGUCUGACCGAGCAACGCCGCGUGAGUGAAGAAGGUUUUCGGAUCGUAAAGCUCUGUUGUAAGAGAAGAACGGGUGUGAGAGUGGAAAGUUCACACUGUGACGGUAUCUUACCAGAAAGGGACGGCUAACUACGUG